CAUGCUGUGAUCACACAAGAAGGUUUUGGAUGCUCGCCAGCCGCAUUGAACAUCGGAGAUAGGGAUGAUUCUUGCUCCGAAUAAUCGUGUCUUCUUUAUACAGUAUAAACAGAAUUCCAUGUAGAAGGUCCACCAUAUUUGAACAGAAUGACUGUCUAGUUGAUAAUGUGGACAGCAUGCUUGGUAAUGGCUACAGAAGCUGUUCCAUGCCAUUACACCCAUCACUGUUCAGACUGUGACAGAGAGACGGGAGAUUGCCUCACUGAGUGUGACACUGGGUAUUACGAUCCACAAUGCAACUCUACCUGCAGCCGGAACUGUAGGAAUAACACAUGUGUGAUGUCAGAACAUGCUAGCGAUGACUGCACUGAGGGUUGUGUGCCAGGUUAUUCUGGCAUUGGGUGCAACAUACCAUGUGACAGUCCAGGAGGUAGCUGUACAGCAUGUCCAGGUGGUUGCGAUGGAGGAUAUUGUCAGCUGGGGUCAUCCUGUGUGUCUGGAUGUGUAAA